CGAGAAGAGGAAGAAGAGGAGACGGAUGUGGACGGUGGAAAGGAUGUUGCGCCUCGUCGAUAACGACCACGUGGGGUUCCGAUCGCGGAGUACACGCCGUGGAACCAGCCACGAUAAUUUCCCAGACGUUAGGACAAAGGAUCGAGCCGUUUCGACGGUGAAAAUUUGAGGACUUGAUUUACGAAGACGGAGAAGAGGAAGGAGAAGGAGAAGGAGAAGAAACGCACAACGAAGCACGUGAAGAAGCAAGAAGACCUGCUGCGUACGGAACGAUGGAGAGCGAAAGAAAAAUUGAAUAGCGAGGGAAAGGGAUGAAGAGAACGAUUGGGUAAGGAGUCAAGACGGGCCGCUGUGAAUGGAACACGUGUACGGUGUCACAUCUAUCUGAAAAGUUCAUCGUUACAAAAAGAUCUCUUGAAAGAGUUUCCUAGAAUGUGAGCUAUCUCUCCGGGGCCAUGGUGGCGAGUGUGUAAUCGAAGGAAUCGUAGAACACUUUUCUCAUGCAAAUACACGCGAUGCGGGGCCCCGGAGUAAAGGACAACGAACUUCUUCGCUCUGCUUAAAACUUCCAACUUAGGUCCUUUUAAAUUUAAAUGCUUUUUUCCCCCUCCACGCUCGCACUCUCGAGCCAGCCGUGCAGGCGUUCUUCUUCCACCCCGUCGAUGUCGCGAAGACGACGAUGAAAAAAGGAGGAAAGAAACGAAACGAUAAUUUUACGAGAGAGAACCGUCGUCGAGCUACACACUUUUUUACAAUUUGAAUAACAUUUGUUACAUAUUCGGAAAACUAUGAUAACGCAUUUGGAAAAUAGUUUCCAGGGGAACGGUAAAAAUUGGAUCAGCCUAGGCGAGGGAAAUUUUCCAUCAUUUUCCCCGCACACCUCGCGCCGCGUCAUUGUUUUCCAAACGGUGGGUGAAAUUUUACAACGUCCAUAAAAGAUCGAACGCCGGGUAUUCACGCUUUGGUAAUUAUUGAAACGAAUAAAAUUUUCACUCUGUACGUAAUAAUAAGCGGCUGAAACGAAUAUACCCCGUAAUAAUUACGAAAACGUGCGCUGGAAUCGUAGUAAUGCCGGGGGUAGGGGAACGUAUCAAAAAUUAUUAUUUGCCGCGCGAUGUCCAAUGACCAGAAAAAUAUUUGCCUAUAACACGCUUGGUGGCUGGUCGUGUGCUCGACGCUGGCUGCCUCGAUGCGAUCGCCAAUUUGAAAUUCGAAUUAUUAUAAUUACGGUGCCCGAUUAAAAAUGAGAAGGCGAGAGAGAGAGAGAGAGAGAGUGGGGGGGGGGGGGAGGGACGCGUAACCUCCGCUGUUCGAUGAUAUAAUUAUAAAGAGUUACAUGGUAGAAUGCGUCUACGAGCUUCGCUUAUUAAACCGAAAAUUUCAUGCGCAUUAAAUUAAGAAUAGAUUGUAUGCAUUAUCAUGUACACAUC